rnacentral:rRNA from 1 species
ACGCUAGCUACAGGCUUAACACAUGCAAGUCGAGGGGCAUCAGGAAGAAAGCUUGCUUUCUUUGCUGGCGACCGGCGCACGGGUGAGUAACACGUAUCCAACCUGCCCUUUACUCGGGGAUAGCCUUUCGAAAGAAAGAUUAAUACCCGAUAGCAUAAUGAUUCCGCAUGGUUUCAUUAUUAAAGGAUUCCGGUAAAGGAUGGGGAUGCGUUCCAUUAGGUUGUUGGUGGGGUAACGGCCCACCAAGCCUUCGAUGGAUAGGGGUUCUGAGAGGAAGGUCCCCCACAUUGGAACUGAGACACGGUCCAAACUCCUACGGGAGGCAGCAGUGAGGAAUAUUGGUCAAUGGGCGCUAGCCUGAACCAGCCAAGUAGCGUGAAGGAUGAAGGCUCUAUGGGUCGUAAACUUCUUUUAUAUAAGAAUAAAGUGCAGUAUGUAUACUGUUUUGUAUGUAUUAUAUGAAUAAGGAUCGGCUAACUCCGUGCCAGCAGCCGCGGUAAUACGGAGGAUCCGAGCGUUAUCCGGAUUUAUUGGGUUUAAAGGGAGCGUAGGUGGACUGGUAAGUCAGUUGUGAAAGUUUGCGGCUCAACCGUAAAAUUGCAGUUGAUACUGUCAGUCUUGAGUACAGUAGAGGUGGGCGGAAUUCGUGGUGUAGCGGUGAAAUGCUUAGAUAUCACGAAGAACUCCGAUUGCGAAGGCAGCUCACUGGACUGCAACUGACACUGAUGCUCGAAAGUGUGGGUAUCAAACAGGAUUAGAUACCCUGGUAGUCCACACAGUAAACGAUGAAUACUCGCUGUUUGCGAUAUACAGUAAGCGGCCAAGCGAAAGCAUUAAGUAUUCCACCUGGGGAGUACGCCGGCAACGGUGAAACUCAAAGGAAUUGACGGGGGCCCGCACAAGCGGAGGAACAUGUGGUUUAAUUCGAUGAUACGCGAGGAACCUUACCCGGGCUUAAAUUGCAGUGGAAUGAUGUGGAAACAUGUCAGUGAGCAAUCACCGCUGUGAAGGUGCUGCAUGGUUGUCGUCAGCUCGUGCCGUGAGGUGUCGGCUUAAGUGCCAUAACGAGCGCAACCCUUAUCUUUAGUUACUAACAGGUUAUGCUGAGGACUCUAGAGAGACUGCCGUCGUAAGAUGUGAGGAAGGUGGGGAUGACGUCAAAUCAGCACGGCCCUUACGUCCGGGGCUACACACGUGUUACAAUGGGGGGUACAGAAGGCAGCUAGCGGGUGACCGUAUGCUAAUCCCAAAAUCCUCUCUCAGUUCGGAUCGAAGUCUGCAACCCGACUUCGUGAAGCUGGAUUCGCUAGUAAUCGCGCAUCAGCCACGGCGCGGUGAAUACGUUCCCGGGCCUUGUACACACCGCCCGUCAAGCCAUGGGAGCCGGGGGUACCUGAAGUACGUAACCGCAAGGAUCGUCCUAGGGUAAAACUG